GUGAGGAAUAUUGGACAAUGGGCGAAAGCCUGAUCCAGCCAUGCCGCGUGUGUGAAGAAGGUCUUCGGAUUGUAAAGCACUUUAAGUUGGGAGGAAGGGCAGUAAGUUAAUACCUUGCUGUUUUGACGUUACCGACAGAAUAAGCACCGGCUAACUUCGUGCCAGCAGCCGCGGUAAUACGAAGGGUGCAAGCGUUAAUCGGAAUUACUGGGCGUAAAGCGCGCGUAGGUGGUUUUGUAAGUUGGAGGUGAAAUCCCCGGGCUCAACCUGGGAACUGCCUACAAAACUGCAUGACUAGAGUACGGUAGAGGGUAGUGGAAUUUCCUGUGUAGCGGUGAAAUGCGUAGAUAUAGGAAGGAACACCAGUGGCGAAGGCGACUACCUGGACUGAUACUGACACUGAGGUGCGAAAGCGUGGGGAGCAAACAGGAUUAGAUACCCUAGUAGUCC
rnacentral:rRNA from 1 species